GAAAACAGAAAUUUAAAAUUACAAAAAAAAAGGUAAAAAAGUAAAAAAAAAAAAUUGCUGGAAAGGGUGUGGAGGGUUGGGGUGGGGGUGGGGUGGAGGGGUAGUAGGGUGGGUGGUAACGAAAAAACUGAUAGGUUAACUAUCGGGGCAUCGAGGUCGAUUCGGGAGCUCGACUGGGAACUAUCGAAGGUGAUCAAAGUAUGGCUAACAGUUAUAGUAAAAUCAACGAAGGCUCUUUAUUGCCAAUGAAAAGCAAUAAAUGAUGAACAAUAAUGAAGAUAAUAAAUGAAGCAAUAAUAUCAAGAGAAUAUGUUUUUCGUGUGGAGCAACUGAAGCAACAGGGGUUUAAAAAAUGACAAGGAUCCCCUUUAUAUAGGAGAGGAAUCUCAACAUAGUACAAAAUACAUUAAUGACAAAGAAGCGAAGAUGGGACAGCUAGAUGACACCCUGAUUCAGGGUUAGGGUUGUCCACUAGACUCCGUCAGUCUUAGUCGUGUACCUUGGGAACUUCCCAUUUCUACCAUAGCCAUGGUCAACAUUGUAAGGUCGGGGCCUCAACCAUAGCCUUGUAGCCUCGAGGCUUCAAGAUGAUCUUCUGAGGUGCCUCGAUGACGAGGAAUUGGACCCUCUAAUUUCACCGUACACACAAGCUAUCACCCAAAAAAAUGCUAAAACCAGUCACUAAUCUGCGGGUAUCAACACAAGCAGCCCAAUCACUAUCGGAUUAAGCAGUCAAGGUAAGAUCAGAAUAGUGGGAAAAGAACAGUCCAACAUCGAGCGUGCCUUUGAGGUAUCUCAAAAUGUGCAAAGCAAUAGACAUGUGAGGAAUUCUGGGACACUUUAAGAACUGACAAAGAUGCUGGACAACAAAACAAAUGUUAAGGCGACUGUGUGUGAGAAAAAGCAAUUUUUCAAUCAAACUCCUAUAGGUCUCAGGCUUGGAAAGCAUAUCACCAGAAUUAACAGAUAAUUUCUCAUGAAGUUCCAAAGGACAGACCAUAGAAGAAACAUCAAAAUAGGCAUACUCAAGACAACAAAUCAUCGAUGAAUUUCUUUUGAUUCAGCAGUAGACCAGAAGAGUAAUAAGAAACCUCAAUGCCUAAAAAAUAGUUCAAAGUGCCCAGAUAUUUGAUUUUGAGUUGAUCAUGUAAAAACAUCUUCAAAUCAAGGAUAGCUUUGAGAUCAUCACCAGUCAAUAUCAUAUCAUCAACAUAAAUAACCAGCACAGUCAAGGAACCAGGAGAACCCUUGACAAAAAGAGAGUAGUCAUUGAUAGAAUAAGUAAAACCUCUAGAACAUAAAGCUUGAGAUAAUUUGGCAUACCAUUGCCUAGAAGCUUUGCAAAGACCAUAGAGAGACUUUCUUAAUCUAUAUACCAGAGGAGCAGAAGAAACAAAUUGGCCAGAAAUUGAAAGACCAUGAGGCAACUUCAUGUAAACUUCUUCAUUUAAAUCACUAUCACAUCUAAUUAUAACAAAGGCCACUCUUGUUUAACAGCCACUUCUAUGAGACACUUGACAGUGGACAUCUUCACAAUAGGGGAAAAUGUCCCAAUGAAAUCAACACCUUUCACUUGUGUAUCACCCCUAAUCACAAGCCUAGCCUUUUACUUUUCUGCACCACCAUCAACUUUAUAUUUCACCUUAUAAACCCAAUACCAACCAAUGGCUUUCUUGCCUUUAACUCUACAAUAUCCCAAGUGUGAUUGGCUUCUAGAGCCUUAAAUUUCUUCCUCAUUGCAUCAUUCCAAGCAAGAAUAAAGGCUGCCUGAGAAUAGGUAGUAGGCUCGAAUUCAACAUACUCAAGAAUGGAAUGGGAACAAUAAGUGGAUGUCUUGGGAAGAGUGCAAACAUAGUCCUGAAGAUAAGUAGGAAGAUGAUGUUCCAUGGGGAAUCUUCUCAGAUGAGAAGAAAGAAUAAAAGAUGAUGGAAUAGAAGGUGAAACAAGUGAAUGAGCAGACAAAGUGGCAGCGGAAGAAUGAGGAAUGCUAGAGGGGGAAGAGGGAUCGACAGCAGUAGAAGGAAGAGAGGAGGAAGAAGGUGAUGGAGAAUCUGCAGUAUCAAAGGGAAAAGAAGAGGGAGAAGAUAGAGGAGAAUCAGAAGAAUCAACAUAUACAUCAGAAAGUACAGGAGUAGGAUUAGGUACACAUGGAGAUGAGAUGGAAGAAGUAGCAGGAACCACAUUAGACUGAGAGAAAGGAAAAUAGUAUUCAUAAAAUAUGGCAUCCCUAGAUAUGAGACAUUUCUUAGUGGUUAAGUUGUAAAUUCUGUAACCCUUUUUAGCAAAUGGAUAUCCAAGAAAGAUGCAUGUCACAACCCCGGGCUUUAAUUUAUCCCUGUGAGGUAUAGAAACUGUGGCAUAACACAACAACCAAAAGACCUCAAAUGAGAGUAGGUGAUCACCUUACCAUACAACAUUUCAAAGGGGGAUUUGUCAUUAAGAAGUUUGGAGGGUAAUCUAUUAAUGAUAUAUGUGGCUAUCAACAAACAAUCACCCCAAAAUUGCAUGGGUAAAUUAGACUGAAACAACAAUGCUCUAGAUGCUUCAAGAAGGAUCCUAUGUUCUCUUUCAACCAUCCUAUAUUGUUGCGGGGUGUAGGAGCAACUAGUCUGAUGAAUUAUUUCAUUUUCUGAUUAGAAUGUAGAGGCAGAAAGACUUGAACCCAGCUUUAAAACAUUGUCACUCCUAAUGGGUUGAACUUAGUAUGGAAAUGAGUCUUGACCAUUGCAAGGAAUGCUUUUAUCAAGGGAAAUGCAUUGCUUUUAGACCCCAUUAAAUGUGUCCAAGUGGCUCUUGUAUAAUCAUCUACAAUAAUUAGGAAGUAUCUAGCCCCAAAAUCUAAAUGUGUCCAAGUGGCUCUUAUAUGAGUUGGAAAGGUUUGGUAGUAGUAAUGGAGCUAUCUGGAAAAGGUAGCCUAGUUUGCCUUGACAUAGGACAAACAUUAAAAAUAAAAGGCUGUUUAGAGGAUAAAGAAUGGGAUAAGCCAGAAUUAAGUUUCAUCCUAACAAAAGGAACAUGUGCAAAUCUUUGAUGCCGAAGCACACCAAUUUUAUUCAUUUCAGUACUAUUACAAGUAAGGAUAACAAUGCACACAUUUGGUAAACUAGGACAACUAAACUUACAAGUGGAUUCAGAAACAUGAGGAAUAGAAAUGGAACUAGAAACAAGAGAAUUACAGACAAAUUCAGAAGUAGGAACAGCACAGGAAGAAAAAGCAUUAUUCAUGGAAUGCAAAUCAGUAAAAAGUUGAGAUUGAGAUGGUCUUUUCCAGACAAACUUGUAAAGACUACUGUCCGGUUUACCAACAUCCAGAGGCUUCUUAAGAGAAGGGCCAUGUGGCAUAAGUAAACAAGAUUCAUAAGCAAACAUGACAAAAUACUUAAACCGUUGAAUGAUCAUGUGCACAAAAAUAAGAUUGUGCUGGAAAAAAGAAUAUAAAGAACAUUGUGCGGAAUGAGAGAUGGAUGCAAAGUAAAAGAAAUAGUGUUGGUCACCUUUACUCUGUAUCCAUUAGGUAAGGACACAAGAUAAGGAACAUGUAAAGGAGUAAGAUUAGAAAGAAAAUCCUUAUUAGAUGUCAUGUGGUCAGCAUCUCCAGAAUCAAUUAUCCAGGUUAAGUCAACUGUUUGAGAAAGCAUGCAUGAAUUAAAAAUAGCAAUCUUCAACAGGACACCAGUUAAUAAUGUACCAGCAAAAUUGGCAGAUGCCAUGAGGUUAGACUGAGGGGAAGAAUCUGACACAUGAGACUAUUGUAACAGAGUCAGCAAUUGAUUGCACUGUUCCAUGGACAUCCCAGGAAACAUGAAACUCUGUUAAGAAGAACUGGAAGUACCAGAGUGAGAAGAACCAUCAGCAAUAUGCCCAGUACCAGGGAACUCAUGUUUAGUAGUAGCAUUUGCUGCAAUUCUUCUUCCCUUGGUGAACUUGAAAUUGAAAGGGAAAUCAUGAAACUUGUAACACUUAUCAAUUACGUGCCCAAACUUCUUACAGUACUUGCAAAACAUGAGGACUUUGGCCUGAUCAACAUUUGCCCUUUGAUCAAAAUUUAUCCUUUGAUUAUAUUGUUGUUUUGGAGGAGGAGGAGGAAACUUGGCAUAAUUAUUGGCAGUCGCAUUGAAUGAGGCUAAAUCUGAAUUGACUUGAGGAGUAGAGCUAAUGUGCCUCUGACUCUUAUCUUUGAGCAGUAUGUUGUAAGCAAUGUCAAGAGAAGGAAGUGGUUAUCUCAUAAGGAGAUUGCUCCUAACACUAAUAUAGAUUUCAUUAAGUCCCAUUAAGAAUUGAUAUAGCUUGUCCUCCUUCAAUUCCCUUUGCAAGGGAUAAUUACAAGGAUUUACAGAAUACUUACACAUGAAGGCCAACUCAUCCCACAAUCUCUUCAAUUUGUUAAAGUGGGAUGCAAUAUCUAGAAACCUUGACAAGUGGAAGCCAACUCCUCCUUAAUCUCCAAAAUUUUGGUCUCAUUGAUAGUACCAUAUCUGAUUUCGAGCUGCUUCCAAAUACACCCAGCAGUUUCAGAAUAUUGAACGCUCUUAGAAAUUUCAGGAGAUUAGGAACUAGUCAACCAGGAUAUAACCAUGUUAUUAUAUUUAUUCCAAAAUUUUAAUUCUGCUGCAUUAUCAGAAGGUUUGGGACAAGUUCCAUCUAUAAAUGCUAUUUUAUUCUUUGCUGAUAGAGCAACUAUGUUUUUUUUCCAACCCCCAAAUCAGGUAACAGAAAAUAGAAUAGGCACUAAAGAAUGCCAGGAAUAUCAGAUGAAUGUAUGAAUGGAGGACUCAAAGGGCCCGGGGAGCAUGUAGAAGUCGAGAUGGUACUAUCGCUCAAAGUCAUAUUGAAAACAACGGAAUCAGGCCAAAUUAAUAUGAAAAGAUGCAUGAAAAGCCCUAGGGUGACAAAAAAAAACAAAUACAGUAUACAAUGAGUGAUAGCAAGGUCAUAUUUACCACUAUUCUUCGCUACCAGAAGAAGAACGACCUUCAAAAUUAAUAGAAACCGCAAAAACGAGAGCUUGAUUUUGUUCAAAAGAAUUGCAAGCAACCUCGACAGAAAAGACAACGGCGGACGUGCUCCGACAACCUUGCCCGAGCCUCCCUCCCUUCAUUCAAUGCUUGACAGCUUCAAAAUAUCGACUCCUCCCACCAGAAAUCAACAAAUUCGACAAAGAACAGAUGACAUGAAGAUGAGAGAAGAUCCACAAAACUGCGUGAGGUUACCAUUGGACGAAAGCAGAGUGCGAGAUCUACACGAAUCCUCUCUCUGAUACCAUAAUAAGCUUCAAAAUCUGUGAACCGCCAUGAAUACUUAGCUAGGGUUUGGGGAGAAUGUACACGAGAGUGAGAGAGAAGCUUCUCGAUUAAUUUCUGAUUUUCCAAAAUGAAAAAAGUAUUUACAGCAGUACAUAAAAUGAUAUAUAUACAUUGGGC
rnacentral:lncRNA from 1 species